GGCAGUGUGGCUCAGNUGGUAGAGUACUUGCCUNUAAGGCAAGAAGCCCCUGGGUUCGGUCACUGGCA
rnacentral:tRNA from 1 species